rnacentral:lncRNA from 1 species
CUUAAAAAGAUCUUUAAAAUUCCAAAAAAUUGAAAAAUAAGAAAUUUUUUAUAAAAUCAAUUUUGAAAUUAAAAUUGAAAUUAAAUUUUAUUUUUCUUUUUAAAAAAUAAAAACUCUUCCAAAAUUUUCUAUAAAAUUAAAACGAACUUUAAAUUCCAAAAAAUUGAAAAAAUAAAGAAUUUUUUUUAUAAAAUUAAUUCUGAAAUUAAAAUUGAAAAUAAAAUUUUAUAUUUCUUAAAAAAAAAAUAUC